GCCAUCAAGGACUCCCUCCGUGGAUGUCUUCAGUGCUGAGAAUCUUCAUGGAUAAAAAACUGGAUUCAAUUUUCUCAGUUCAGGCUAAUUCUCCACUUUUCAACACCGAGGAAUUUGCUUCUUCACUCUCGAUAAAGCCUUCUGACUCGCUUGGUACAACUCCAGUGAAGAAAUCGAGGAAUUCCACACCUGCAAAAAGCCCUAGGGUAAAAAAAGAAGUCAUUCCAAAAAAAUCAGUAAAUUUUGAUUCUCCUAGCAAAAGUCAGGAUCUUUCAGUGACAAAAACAGAGACUUUUCAUUAUUGCACUGUGUGUGACCAUCGCACGAAGUCAAAGUCGGCUCUUGCAAGGCAUAUUCGAACACAUACUGGGGAAAAGCCAUAUCCCUGCCGAUUUAUGUGUGGCCAGGCUUUUUCAAGGUCAGAU